rnacentral:rRNA from 1 species
UACGGAGGGUGCGAGGGUUGUCCGGAAUCACUGGGCGUAAAGGGCGCGUAGGCGGCUUCUCAAGCGUGUGGUGAAAGUCCGGGGCUCAACCCCGGAUCGGCCGUGCGGACUGGGGAGCUCGAGUUCUGUAGAGGCGGGUGGAAUUCCGGGUGUAGCGGUGGAAUGCGUAGAGAUCCGGAAGAACACCGGUGGCGAAAGCGCUCUGCUAGGCCGUAACUGACACUGAGGGACGAAAGCUAGGGGAGCGAAUGGG